GAUGAUGUACCUCUUCAGUCAAGAGUAGAAAAAUUGAAAAAAAACCGCCGAAAUGAUCCAAUUGUAGAUCCUGAACUUUUAAAAGAUAUUGACAAGUCAAUUGGUACGGAUUUAAAAAUGUCUCCAUUACCAAGUGAACAAAGUGAGAACAUUCCUGCUACUCAUGCAACAACUAAGAGUGUGUCUGCUACACAUAACACAACUGACAAAGAGAGUAGGGAUCAAAGUGAAAAGAAUGUAGAACAAAACCAGGAUAUAAUUGUACCUGAAAAGGACAA